UACAGAGGGUGCGAGCGUUAAUCGGAAUUACUGGGCGUAAAGCGUGCGUAGACGGCUAUCUAAGUCGGGUGUGAAAGCCCCGGGCUCAACCUGGGAAUUGCAUUCGAGACUGAAUAGCUAGGGUACGGUAGAGGGAAGCGGAAUUUCCGGUGUAGCGGUGAAAUGCGUAGAUAUCUGGAGGAAUACCGGUGGCGAAGGCGGCAUCCUGGACCGGCAUUGACGCUGAGGAGCGAAAGCUAGGGGAGCAAACGGG
rnacentral:rRNA from 1 species